CACUGGAGCUCACAGACUUCAGGAAGGGGCCAUCCUUGGAUUUCUCAUGCUUCCUCAUGAAACAGCUCAGUGAAAUCCAUUCCCCUAGCCCGGAAACGUGGGCACUUUAUAGAAAAUCUUUAGCUUGUACCAGCACAAAUGGAUGGGUCUUAUUUCCCGUCUGCAGUUCAUGGUGUUGCAACGGCAUUGCCAAAAACUAUCGACUGAGACGUGAAAGCAAAAAAUGGAUGGAAAUGAACAUGAGCACGUUCCCAUGUUACAUUGACAAGCAUGAUCAAGUUCAUCUGAAAGGGAGCGACCCACAACGGCACCUGAAUCGUGCCCCACGCCCAGGGCCUCCUGUUCACGGGACGAUGAGGAGGAACGGUGGGCAGACAAUGGGUUUGAGGGACCAGAGAGAGCCCCAGGCCCCCGUGUAUCUCCCUGAUCCUUGUGCCCUGGUGCUGGAAACGCACCACCGAAGAGCAGCUCACUGUGUAAUUGUAAAAAUAAAAAGAGAAACACAUUCAACCCCCUGAAAUUCUCUUUUAAUAAUACGAUACUUUCUAAUAAUGUUUGUGCUACAUGGUUUCAAGAGGACUACUUUGGGUAUGUAGUUCAAAAGGUUGGUGGAAAAUGGAUUGAAAAGGCAAGCUUAUUUUGGUGCAAAAAGUAUUGAAAUCCAUGUAUAGGUUUUUCAUAAUACUUUUUUGUGUGAGCUUUUUGAGGACUACAGUACGUACAGAUUUCAAAAAAGUCUGUUGUGCCUGGGGCCAGCGUUGUGGGGCAGAGGGGUGAGCCACCACCUGUGAUGCCAACACCCCGUAUUGGAGUGCUGGUUCAGGCCCUGGCUGCUCCACUUCUGAUCCAACUUCUGCUAACAUGCACUCUGGAAAAAAAGUGGAAGAUAGCAUAAGUGCCUGGGCUCCUCCCACCCCCGUGGGAAACCCUGAUGGAAUUCUUGAUUCCUGACUUCAGCCUGGCAUAGCACUGGCUGUUGUGGCCAUGUAGGGAGAGAACCAGUGGGUAGAUAAUCUCCCUCCUUGUCCCUCGCAUUCUCUGUCACCCUGCCUUUCAAAUUAAUUAAUUAAUUUUUUUUUGGUGGCAAAAUUAACUUUUAAGUACAUUUUUCAUGAAUUUUUUGGAAUACUUUUAUAUGAUGUCACAUACGAUCUUCAUAAUGAAUUGCUAUUACCCCCAUUUUACAGAUGAUAAACUGAGGUCCACAGGGAUGAGCUGACUCAACAGAAACAGGAGUUAGAGAAGAUGUGGCUCAAGCAGUCUCUUGAAUCCAAUUCCAGAAUCCCUUCCAUUCUAUCCCAUGCAUCCUGGGAGGAUUCUGAAAUACAGCCCAAGUUACCUCCUGAGCUAGGCGUGCUGCUGAUCAGAGGACCCCAAGUGGGCAUGAGCAAAACACUGGAGCUUGAGCAGCAUGGGGGGGGCACUGAAGGAGAGAGGGGAGCAGGGGAGCCCAGCAGUUAGCAGGGUGCAACCUAUCUCACACUUUUAUUAUAUUUGCCCUGUCUGCGGUGUUGGGUG
rnacentral:lncRNA from 1 species